ensembl:miRNA aca-mir-460b aca-mir-460b
GGACUCCAUCUUGCCCUCAUUGUACAUGCUGUGUGUAUUCCUUUGGCGUACACAGCGCAUGCAAUGUGGACAGGAGGGAGGCCG